GAUGCCAGGGUCAAAAGGUCGUACUUUUCAUGCUUGCAUGAAAAAGUACGACUUUGGGACCCGAAAAACACCGAAAAGGAGCCAUUUUUCGCAGAAAAAUGAGCGGAUUUGAGGUGUUUUAGGAUUUCGGGAACACGAAGUGCGAAGAAAUCCGUGGCAUC
rnacentral:sRNA from 1 species